rnacentral:rRNA from 1 species
UACGGAGGGUGCGAGCGUUGUCCGGAAUCACUGGGCGUAAAGGGCGCGUAGGCGGCCCUGUAAGUCACUUGUGAAAUCCCGGGGCUCAACUCCGGGGCUGCUGGUGAGACUGCAAGGCUAGAGCUUGGUAGAGGCGAGUGGAAUUCCCGGUGUAGCGGUGGAAUGCGUAGAUAUCGGGAAGAACACCGGUGGCGAAGGCGGCUCGCUGGGCCAAUGCUGACGCUGAGGCGCGAAAGCGUGGGGAGCAAACAGG